GAUGAACGCUGGCGGCGUGCCUAAUACAUGCAAGUCGAGCGAACAGACGAGGAGCUUGCUCCCCUGACGUUAGCGGCGGACGGGUGAGUAACACGUGGAUAACCUACCUAUAAGACUGGGAUAAAUUCGGGAAACCGGAGCUAAUACCGGAUAACAUGUUGAACCGCAUGGUUCAACAGUGAAAGACGGUCCUGCUGUCACUUAUAGAUGGAUCCGCGCCGCAUUAGCUAGUUGGUAAGGUAACGGCUUACCAAGGCAACGAUGCGUAGCCGACCUGAGAGGGUGAUCGGCCACACUGGAACUGAGACACGGUCCAGACUCCUACGGGAGGCAGCAGUAGGGAAUCUUCCGCAAUGGGCGAAAUCCUGACGGAGCAACGCCGCGUGAGUGAAGAAGGUCUUCGGAUCGUAAAACUCUGUUAUUAGGGAAGAACAAAUGUGUAAGUAACUAUGCACGUCUUGACGGUACCUAAUCAGAAAGCCACGGCUAACUACGUG
rnacentral:rRNA from 1 species